rnacentral:rRNA from 1 species
UACGUAGGGUGCAAGCGUUAAUCGGAAUUACUGGGCGUAAAGCGUGCGCAGGCGGCUUUGCAAGACAGAUGUGAAGUCCCCGGGCUCAACCCCGGAACUGCCUUUGAAACUAGAUUGCUAGAAUCCUGGAGAGGUUAGUGGAAUUCCGAGUGUAGAGGUGAAAUUCGUAGAUAUUCGGAAGAACACCAGUGGCGAAGGCGACUAACUGGACAGGUAUUGACGCUGAGGUGCGAAAGCGUGGGGAGCAAACAGG